rnacentral:lncRNA from 1 species
CAUACACACACUCCUCCCUUUUGGUCCUUCCCUCCCUCUUUCUCUCUAUAAGUUUAUAGGUUUGGGGAGGUCUGCUCAAAGACUAACAGUGUGAGUGGCUUUUCAAAGCGUUUUCUUUAAAGACACUAAGUACAGGCUCUUAGCUGUUCACUGAUGCCCUCUCUAUCUGGCUACUAUCUCCCCUAGUCUCUUUCCCACGGUUUAACCUUACCUUGUUCACUUACACUGCCUUCAGAAAGUAUCCAUACCCCUUGACGUAUUCCACAUUUUGUUAUGUUACAGGCUGAGUUCAAAAUGGAUGAAAUAUACAGUAUCAGUCAAAGGUGUGUCCAAACAUUUGACUGGUACUGUAAGUAUUUAUUGAAAAUGAAACACAGAAAUAUCUCAUUAACAUAAGUAUUCACCCCCGUGAGUCAAUGCUUUCUAUAAGUGUCUUCGGUAGCGAUUACAGCUGUUAGUCUUUCUGGGUAAGUCUAUAAGGCCGGGUCUAGACUUGACAGUUCAUGCAGCUUUAGAGUUCUGAUCAUGGAAUUCUGUCAUGUAUCUACAUUUAAAUGUGUCCAACAAUGUGUCCGGAUUCCCCAUUCCCAUACUAUAUAUCCAAAUGCCAGUAGGCAUUCUACAAAUGGUGGAAUAGGCAAAAUAUUAUAACACAACAACUGAUGGCAGUAGCUAACUACUGUAGCUAACUAGCCAGCUAACCUCUGUAGGUUAGCAUAACUCUAGCUAAACAAAAAAUAUUUUUUCUAAAUAUUAGGUAGCUGGCUAGCAUUUUAUGAGACCAGCAAACACGUUCCUCACACGCUAGGAAUGUAUUUCUUCCAACAUCAUAAUGAAAUGGUACCUCUCGGUCCAAAACACAAGUUUUCUGGAGACUUGUGGGAGGAGUGCUGAUGAUGUUGCCCACUGUAUGCACUUUCGGUAGCCUGAUUGCGUCCAGACUGAGGAGAAAUCCACACAUAAUGCAUCCCACAGAUCUGAACACAAGAACUCCACAAAGCCACUUUUGUGCAUCUAGACCCGUCUUUUCAAUGCCAUCUUCGUAUUCUGAUAGCAGAAGUCGUAUGUAGGUGUCAAGUGUAGACACGACCUAAGAGCUGUCCACACCUGGAUUGUGUAACAUUUGCCCAUUAGUAUUUUCUGAAUUCUUCAAGCUCUGUCAAAUUGGUUGUUGAUUAUUGCUAGACAACCAUUUUCAAGUCUUGCCAUAGAUUUUCAGCAGAUUUAAGUCAAAAAUGUUACUCAGCCACUCAGGAACAUUCGCUGUCUUCUUAGUAAGCAACUCCAGUGUAGAUUUGGACUUGAGUUUUAGGUUAUUGUCCUGCUGAAAGGUGAAUUCAUCUUCCAGGGUCUGGUGGAAAGCAGACUGAACAAGGUUUUCCUCUAGUAUUUUGCUUGUGCUUAGCUUUAUUCCGUUUCUUUUUUAUCCUGAAAAACUCCCCAAGCAUAACCAUAACAUGAUGCAGCCACCACUAUGCUUGAAAAUAUGAAGAGUGGUACUCAGUAAUGUGUUGUAUUGGAUUUGCCCCAAACAUAACACUUUGUAUUCAUGACAAAAAGUGAAUUGCUUUGCCACAUGUUUUGCAGGAUAACUUUAGUGCCUUGUUGUAAACAGGCCUUGGAAAACCUCCCUGGUCUUUGUGGUUGAAUCUGUGUUUGAAAUUCACUGCUCAACUGAGGGACCUUACAGAUAAUUGUAUGUGUGGGGUACAGAGAUGAGGUAGUCAUUCAAAAAUAAUGUUAAACACUGUUAUUCCACACCGAAUGAGUCCAUGCAACUUAUUAUGUGACUUGUUAAGCACAUUUUUAUUCCUGAACUUAUUUAGUCUUGCAAAUAAAAAAGGGGUUGAAUACUUAUUGACUCAAGACAUUUCAUUUUUUAUGAAUUUGUUAACAUUUCGAAGAACAUAAUUCCACUUUGACAUUAUGGGCUAUAGUUUGUAGGACAGUGACAAAAAAUCCCUAUUUAAUCCAUUUUAAAUUUAGGCUGUAACUUAACAAAAUGGGGAAAAAGUGAAGGGGUGUGAACACACUUGUAACCCCCUGAAC